rnacentral:rRNA from 1 species
GUGUCAGCCGCCGCGGUAAUACGUAGGGGGCAAGCGUUAUCCGGAUUUACUGGGUGUAAAGGGAGCGUAGACGGUUAGGUAAGUCAGAUGUGAAAGCCCAGGGCUCAACCCUGGGACUGCGUUUGAAACUAUGUAACUGGAGUGCAGGAGAGGUAAGUGGAAUUCCUAGUGUAGCGGUGAAAUGCGUAGAUAUUAGGAGGAACACCAGUGGCGAAGGCGGCUUACUGGACUGUAACUGACGUUGAGGCUCGAAAGCGUGGGGAGCAAACAGGAUUAGAUACCCGGGUAGUCCACGCCGUAAACGAUGAAUACUAGGUGUUGGGGCCCAUAAGGGCUUCGGUGCCGUCGCAAACGCAUUAAGUAUUCCACCUGGGGAGUACGUUCGCAAGAAUGAAACUUAAAGGAAUUGACGG